rnacentral:rRNA from 1 species
GAUGAACGCUGGCGGCGUGCCUAAUACAUGCAAGUCGAGCGAACAGAUGAGAAGCUUGCUUCUCUGAUGUUAGCGGCGGACGGGUGAGUAACACGUGGGUAACCUACCUAUAAGACUGGGAUAACUCCGGGAAACCGGGGCUAAUACCGGAUAAUAUUUUGAACCGCAUGGUUCAAUAGUGAAAGACGGUUUCGGCUGUCACUUAGAGAUGGACCCGCGCCGUAGUAGCUAGUUGGUAAGGUAACGGCUUACCAAGGCGACGAUACGUAGCCGACCUGAGAGGGUGAUCGGCCACACUGGAACUGAGACACGGUCCAGACUCCUACGGGAGGCAGCAGUAGGGAAUCUUCCGCAAUGGGCGAAAGCCUGACGGAGCAACGCCGCGUGAGUGAUGAAGGUCUUCGGAUCGUAAAACUCUGUUGUUAGGGAAGAACAAAUUUGUUAGUAACUGAACAAGUCUUGACGGUACCUAACCAGAAAGCCACGGCUAACUACGUGCCAGCAGCCGCCGUAA